rnacentral:lncRNA from 1 species
GCGUCGACUCUUUAUAAACAACAUCAAAAGUUUGGCACCUUAUAUGAAAGAACGUCCCGACAAUAAUGAGAACAUGACGACUUUAAACUCGAUUUACCAAACUAAAAAGGGGCUAAGACGACUAUUAAUUCUAGAAAAAUUGCAAGCAUCGAGGGAUCACAUAUUCACCUCUAGUCCUUGUCAAAUUUGACACUUCAAAUCAAAUUUGACUUAGGAACUCAAGCAAAGUUGGCCAGCAGACUCUUGGAUUUUUUUACUUGGUGACAUGAAUUUAACAGAUCCUAAACAGAGAUGAUCAAUGGAGGUUUGAGAAGAUAAUAUUCAUACAACUUGGAGCAUAGAUUUUAAAGCCAAACAAACAAAAGUUAGGAGCUAAACUGCAUGAUGGAUGAGCACAAAGUCAUAACUUAAUCGCAUGUGUUCGUAACCCGUAAGUGAAACACGAUGGACUGUGAACGGACAUGAGUGAAAUGACUGAUUCAAGGUGUCUUAGCGAUUAAAAAACUGAAUUACGAGUAUCCCAGGUAAGAAAGCAAGACACCUGUGAUCACUGACUUUAGCGAAAUUGAUUUCUUAGAAAAUAGUAAUGACAGUUGAACAUUAAAAAGAGAAUUUACACUCUCUGAGAAAUUUAAACACGAUGUAUCAUCCUAUGAGUUGAAAAGAAAUGGGUGAGACACUUCUCUUGUGCAAAUUCCAAAAUCGAGGCUCAGGCAAUCUUUCGGAAGUUAAGACAUCCAACUUGUUUAUCUUAGCUCUAGAGCUCAAACUAGACUAAUUAUUUAAGCUAAUUACUUAUACUAAAAGAAAACAAAUUGGGACAUGCUUAGCCAGAGAAAAAGAUAUUCAAACUAGUUAAAAAAUAACUAUCUUUACAUUGAGUUGUCAAGCCUCGCUAAUCAUUCUUAAUGCCCAAGUUAACAAAAAAAAAGAAAUACUUUCAGAAGUUUAAGGCUUGUACAACCUGUUCUUAUGCUAAGUUAUAAGUUCAAAAUCACUUUUAAAUAAACGUCUAUCUUAAAAUAAUGACAACAAGAUGUCAUGUUCAAGUGUUCAUGCAAAAAGGUACUACAAUUCCGCUACAGACAGUUUGGUAAAGCUUUGACCCUUAAAAAAAUGAGUCAGAUUGUCACUUCAGCAUCGCCUUAACAGGUUUCAAAAUCACAGAAAAAUGAUAGCUCAUGGAUACCAAUAUGAUUCUGUGCAUAACACAGAAGGAAAAGUUUACGUCUAGAUUUUAACAUCUACAUUUACUUGAAAAUAUGUCAACAUGUUUUGUUAUCUUAUAUUUUUUGGAAACAGUUUUCAUGCCUAAUUUAAUGGCUGCGGGGGUCUUGUAACCUCAUGGACGAGUACAGGAAAAAAAAUUAAGAAACCAUUACCAUGUCAAAGUACCCAAACCAACGUUACACUAAAUUUUAAACAAUCAGUUACUCUACAAAUAUGCCUCAGUUUUAUCUAAACCAACUACCAGAAAGCUAUUUUUGCUUCAAGUUGUUGUUUGUAACUUGUCAAAUGAAAGACUAAGAGGGAACUUAGACAAACAACUUGCGCAUUGGGGAACUUAGACAGAUGUACAAGGAUGGGUCCAAACACUAGUUCAUGUGGCAAGCAGGUUAACAGAGUCGAGAACAUACUAAACCAACAUAAUUUUAGGGUGCAGUAAUGGACAAACAAGAUUCUGAUUUUGAUCCUAUUUAAAGGUUGUGACUUAUGCCAGCCACUUAGUACUUAGAGAGACCCUUAUAGGAAACGACAUGUCACACAUUACUGAUGCAAAAUAAUCAUAUUCAGAAAGAAACGAAAUGAGAAUAACACUUAAAAAUUAGAAAUUUGCAAGAGAAAAGAAAAAAAGGAACUUUAGAUCUAAGGUUAGUCCUUCAUAUUCAAGAAGACUUUACUGCUUUGAACUCAUAUGUAAUUAGACAUAUUACACAGAACAUCCCCACAUGAUAAUGCAUUCAAAUAGAGAUGGGUACUUUCGAAAAUAAUUAAAGGAAACAGAGCGAGUCAAAAUUGGGUGUCAACAGUUGCCCCUGAUUGACAAAAGAUUAGUGUGAAAAUCUUUGGACAAUCACGUUGACGUAACCCAUUUUGCCUCGGGCGAAACAAAAUAUUUGGAAGAUUAUGGUUGGGCUCCGAUUUCUGAGCUACCUAUAUAUCUCGGGUAUCAGGAAAAGUCAGGCCAUCUAUAGUUCAAACCAUAGCAAAAUUUUGAUAAAUAUCAAAAUUUACCCAGCGUGGAAUUAUGGUAACACUGGGUUCCCUUGAGGAUGAUAACAAAGAUUUUAGCAUGUAUGAAAUAGAUAUGAGUGCAUUUAUCCUAAAUUGGUUGUUUGAGAUGGCUGGGAAUGUGAGAUCGAUGGAUAGCAACAUCUGCUGAGGAUCUUGAGAGAAAAGGGGAUUAUGAACUUUUAAAAAUUGCUCAGUGUCAGAUCAAGACGACACUGGGCUAUGACGCUAGGAAAAUGAGAUGACUGAGCCGAGUUGAUUUGAGUUGAGUUUCUUCACCGGAAUCUUUGACGUAGCUAGGGAUGCUUGACAUUCCACUAGCUUGCCCUAGUUUGUUGCUAAGAGGGUAGGUCCACGUUGUAUUGCAUGGUCCUGCAAAAUAGGUUAAAAGAGUGAAAAGUACCUGUUGUUCAAAAAUUGUAAUGUAAAGAGUAGAGUUAGAUAUUCAAACUAGUAUUGUGAUAUCUAUUUGUGGAGGCCUCCGACUGGUGAGGCGAUAACUAAAAUGUAAAGAGCCUCCGUCGGCUGAGCAGUUGCUUGAAAGUAAAAGGCUCCGACUGGCGGGGCAAUUGCUUGAAAGUCAGAGCCUAUGUCGGCUGAACAGUUGUUGUAAAAUAAAAGCCAUCCGACUGACGAGCAAUUGAGCCAUCCGACUGGAGAGCAACUGGAGAAUAAGCCAUCCGACUGGUGUGCAGUUGUUGAAAAAAUACACACCAUCCGACUGGUGGGUAGUUAUUGAGAAGUAUGCGAUGUCUGACUGGCGAGCAGUGUUUGAAAAGUAAAGCCUCCGACGGUGAGACAUUUGCCCAAAGGUAAAUUGGCUUGUCUUGGCAAGGCGACCUUUGAUCUGAACCAGAUAAAUUAAAAUGAUGUAGUGACCAGGCCUGACUCGGUCUGCCUAUGCAUCCAAGUGUAAUCAGGUCAGGCCGUAGUUCAGUACAAUGAAAGGGUUAUAAUAUGAAGGGACCAAAUCCCAUAAGGAUUGCCUACGUAUCCCGUCAUGGAAAGUCAGGUCGAGCGUAGUUCUAAAUACAUAAAAGGAUAAUGUUUUUGGGUUUUUCUAAGGGAAACCGAACCCUAUAUGGGUUGCCUAUGUAUCCCACCGUGGGAAGUCAGGCGAAUACGUAGUUCUUUUACAUUAGAGAAAAAUGCAGAAGUACGAAAAAAUAACAAGUCUUAAUGUUUUCAAAUGUAUUACUUCUUGAUGGUGUUUGAAUUGAUCGGCUUCGUGCUUACUGUGUCGUCCAUCUCUGCAAGGAUCACUGCUCCCUCUGAGAGUACUCGAUGAACUAUGUAGGGACCUUGCCAAUUUGAUGCAAAUUUCCCUUUAGUUUCUCCUGGUGAGGAAAUAUCUUCUUCAAUACCAAUUGUCCAGGUGUGAAGGCUUGACUUUCUUGUUGAAUGCCUUGAUCAUUCAAUUUUGAUAGAGUUGACCAUGACACACUGCGUCUAAUAAGCAUCAAUUGUUCCAUUCAGCGUCAUCUAAACCGACCUCUUAGAUGACUCUCAGUGAGGGUAUCUCUACUUCUGCAGGUAUCACUGCCUCUGAACCGUAAAUCAGUAUGUAUAGAGUUUCCCUAGUGGAUGUUCUGAUUAUGGUGCGAUAGCCGAGCAAAGCAUAUGGUAGCUUCUCAUGCCAUUCCCUGUUGCCGUCUACUAUCUUCCUCAAGAUUCUCUUGAUAUUCUUGUUUCAGCUUCAACUGCUCCAUUCAUUUGCGGUCGAUAUGUCGUGGAGUUUCUAUGAGAGAUCUUAAACCUUUCACAAAUCUGUCAUUAGGUCGCUAUUGAGAUUGGCCCCGUUAUCUGUUAUGAUUGACUCUGGGAUUCCAAACCGACAAACUAAGUUAUUGCAGAUGAAAUCUGCUACCACCUUCUUGGUUACGACCUUAUGUGUUGAAGCUUCAACCCAUUUUGUGAAAUAGUCGAUAGCUACCAAGAUAAAAUGUUGUCCAUUGGACGCAGGAGGCUCUAUGAGCCCAAUAACAUCCAUGCCCCAACCAGCAAACGGCCAAGGAGAACCUAUCACAUUAAACGACGAGUACCGUAUAAAAUCCUCAUGAACUUGACAUUGGUGACAUUUCUACACGUAUCGGAUUCUAUCCUUCUCUAUGGUCAUCCAAAAGUAGGUACAAACAAACUCAUUUCGGUACUCGUCGUAACUCUCCAAACGGUUGUAUCUUCUGAAAAGGUAAUCCAACUUUAACUUCCCAUCUUCCACAUUCCUUAGUGAUGAAAAGAUAUCCAAUCCCAACAGACCCAAGAAAUGCAACUUCCUUACAGGUGACGGGAGUACCGGCAACUUCCCUCGAAGUAGUAGCUCAGCGAAGUCACUAACUUCUUCUAGGGUAAGGGUGAUCUCAAAAUCUAGAAACUUGAAGGUCAUAGUGUUCGGCUCCCAAAAUUCCAUCAAUAGCGUAAUGAGGGCUUUAUUAGCUCGAACCCUCAUUAGCGAUAAUAGAGCACCCAAGUGUUCCCGAACCUCCGCACCAUGCGCCACAAAGAUAUUUCUCCACCAGUUCUGCAGGUUAUCAGGGGUAGAGAUGACCAUUUGGAUAUUUGGCAAAUGACCAUUUGAAUAUUUGGCAAAUUUGGGUUAAUAUUCAUCUGAAAGGAAAAGAAAAGGAUAUGGUAAGUCAUUUACCUCAAAUCCAUUAUGUGUUUUAGUUUUGACCGUUCACACCAAUUUUCUCACAAAAAUAUGUCGACAGGUUUGUAACCUUUGACAAAAGGGUGGUUUCCUAAUUGAGAUGACGAUGCCUUGGACCGUCUCGCCUAAGGUGUAUGCGACAUGACCUAUUUAUAGAGUAAGAUUAUUUUCCUAAAUAUUUUAAGAGUGGGACUGAAUAGCUACGAGAAGGCGCAUUAACCUAAUUGUACCGACUCUGAAACUAAAGAAUCCAAAAAAGGUUUGGAGGAGUGUAAGACACCCCCGCAUGAACCACCGUGUGUAAAUUGUGUACGACCAAAGACUCGAUAGGAAAAUGUAAGUGAUAAAGCAGUAACAUGUAGUGUUGUUCAAACAAAUAAGGAACGCAAGUUUGGACUUGCCUUGCGUCCUUUCACCCAAAGCAUGAUAUAAACACAUGUAAAGCAAAUAAUACAAUAAAAGCAUAAAGAUCCUAAACUAAGCGUGUUAAGGUUAAAACCUAAGUUCAUUACAUCACCAGUAGAGUUGCCAUUCUGUCGCACUCUAUUUCAAACCGGUCGAAACAACAUGCAACAUGUGGUGGCGUGUCGUGACUCUCGGGUUUUGAAAAUUCAUUUUAGAGUCGCCACCUAACUUUUUAGGAAAACUAGGAAAAAUCGAUUUCUGUUUUGGCCUAUUGAAAAUAUUUUGAGAUUCUAAUAAAGGUUCUGGUUACUCGAGGGGAAGGUGUUAGGCACCCCUCAGAGCCUAUCUGAAGAUAGUCCUUACGCUUAGUUUAGGAAAAUAUUUGAAAAAAAAAAUUAUUUUGUUAUUUUCUAAACCAGUGAUAAGAAAAACUUUUAUUAUUAUUUUCUAUUUAUCAUUUUAUAUAAAAGAAAGAAAACUUAAGGUAUGACAAACUUGAUGCUAUCACGUACAAGGGAGUAAUAUCAUUAUUGCAAAAAUAAACAUGUAUUCUAGAUGUGAAAAGGGUGAUAUUAUAAUUUACACACAUAUUAAAAAAUGUAAGUCUUAUAAUUUCAAAGAAGGUUAUUUGAAUAUAUGUGAGGUUAAAUACAUCCUUAUAGAGUGAAUAAGGUACUUUCAUGGGUGUGAGAAUUUAUUUGCAAAACUAUACAUAUUUAAGAGCACGCGAAGAAUAUGUGAGAGAUUAUGAGUAGAUUAGAGUAAAACUAAUUGUAAUGUAAACUAUGAUAAAUAAUAAUAACGAUAAUAAUAAUAGCAAUAAUAAUAAUAAUAAUAAUAAUGACGAUGAUAAUAGUAAAGUGAUAAAAAUAGUUGUUACGAAAAUAGUAAAAUAUACCUUGUACGUAGUAGCGAAUGAAAUGUAUAUACCUCGUAUUUCUACCCCUGAAAAUUCGAACAAGUGUUGAAAAUAUAACGUAAAGCAUUCGAAUUAUAAAAAAAAGGUUAGAAUUAGCGAACACCUAAGAAUUUUGUGACCUGCUCUCCCCUGUGAGUUAGUAUUUGAAAUUCUAGUUUGUUAUUUUUUUUUAAGAAAAACAUGGAGAUUGUUACAUCCAUUUUAUUAACAAAUUAUUUUAUUUUUUAAGGUGAGAUAAUCAAUUAAACACUUCAUCAAAUUUUUCUAAAAAAGAAUUUGCUAAUCCUUAAAGAAAGUUUACCUUUGUGAAUUGAUUGACUGAGUGUCGAUCACAAAAAUAUGAUAACGCCAUCCUAUUUAAAGAUUUGAUACGUAACAAAGCUAUUAUAAACAAAUAAAGCUACCUCAAGCAAAUGUUACAACAAAAUAGAGUUAGUUAACAUCCAAAAGAAAGCGUAACAUAAUAUGAGUAAGCUAAAGAAAGAAACGGCUAGGAGUACUAGACUCCAUUUCAGAGUUCAAACUUUUAUCUCGCGCGACUCCGAGGCUCUUGUGAUCCUAGUAGCAUUUGACCCGAUAGUCGGGUCAAAAUGAGUUUCGAUUGAAACUCCAUCUCCAAGAUUAAAUAAAACAAAAAAUAAAAUAAAAUAAAGAUCAGUAACUAAAAUAACAAAAUAAAUAUAAUUUGUCGGUUAUGAAGAAACGCAUACUCAUGAAUACAUUUCACAUAAGAAUCGGGUAAGUGCUUAAGUUAAGCGAGUAUUUCAAACAAAUUUUCCUCGAAAGACUUUGCAUAUUAAUAGAACCUUAUCACUAACCUUCAACGCUACACCAUAGUGAUAAUAAAUUUCCUAAGAUCCAAAAGACUUUUCAAAGGAUAAUUUUAGUUUUUUCUCAAUGCAUAUCAAAGGGCUCAAAUGAUCAGGAAAACAUUAUUUCUUUAAACUUUUUUUUUGCUAUCCCUUAAUGAUGUUAAGAUACCUAUUAUACCCAAAACGUGAAACUCCCAACACAAAGUGGUCACUUAACCAUCAAAGUUAUUUAUUAAAAAAAAAAAAAAAAAAAAAAAAAAAAAAGGGCAGCCCGGUGCACUAAAGCUACCGCUAUGCGCAGUGUCUGGGGAAGGGCCCCACCACAAGGGUGUAUCGAACGCAGCCUUACCUUGCAUUACUGCUAAAGGCUGUUUCCAAGGCUUGAACCUGUGACCUCCCGGUCACAUGGCAGCAACUUUACCAGUUACUCCAAGGCUCCCCUUCAUCAAAGUUAAUUUAUAAACUUAACAAAUUCAUCAAAUUCCACUUAGAAUGGCGAAUAGAGUUAGUCAUGAACCCUAGAAAUUUAGCUGGAAACACAAAAUCCAACAAAUCCAAAAUGGUGUAAUUGAUAAGAAUUUAUGAAGGUAAUCUUCUCAAGUAUGAAAAAAAAAAAAAAAGAAACCCAAACGACAAAUAAAUAAAUCGAGAGGGAUGGAGUUAAGAGAAAAUAAGUGAAUAAGUAAACCAAUAUUUAAGCUUUGGAAUGCCCAUGACAUGAUCAAAUGACUAUAGAGAAUUAACAUAAAUGUUUUAAUCCUCUAGAAAUUAACCAAAGGGACCACGGCCAGAUAUUAAAUUGGGCAAUUUGACAAAAUUGUACCCACGUUGACAACUAAAAAAACUGCAUGAAGUUAAACCAAUUCUAUCCAAUGAUCACAACGAAAAGUGACUUUAUUAAACCAACCCAAGUAUACUAAAUACACGUAAGAUAUCCAAACCAAUUGUUUUAAGGAAAAGCUUGUGUCGACUCUUUAUAAAAAACAUCAAAAGUUUGACACCUUAUAUGAAAGAACAUCCUGCCAAUAAUGAGAACAUGACGACUUUAAACUCAAUUUACCAAACUAAAAAGGGGCUAAGACGACUAUUAAUUUCAGAAAAAAUUGCAAGCAUCGAGUGAUCACAUAUUCACCUCAAGUACUUGUCAAAUUUGACACUUUAAAUCAAAUUUGACUUAGAAACUAAAACAAAGUUGGCCAGCAGACUCUUGGAUUUUUUUUAGUUGGCUACAUGAAUUUAACAGAUCCUAAAUAGAGAUGAUCAAUGGAGGUUUGUGAAGGUGAUAUAUACUUACAACUUGGAGCAUAGAUUUUAAAACAAAACAAACAAAAGUUAGGAGCUAAACUGCAUGAUGGAUGAGCCAAAGUCAUAACUUAAUCGCAUGUGUUCGUAACCCGUAAGUGAAACACCAUAGACUGCGAAAGGGCAUGAGUGAAAUGACUGAUUCAAGGUGUCUUAGCGAUUGAAAAACUGAACUAUGAGUAUCAUAGGUAAGAAAGCAAGACACCUCUGAUCACUGACUUACCGAAAUUGAUUUUUUAGAAAAGAGUAAUGACAUUUGAACAUUAAAAAGAGAAUUUACACACUCCCUGAGAAAUUUAAACACGAUGUAUCAUCCUAUGAGGUGAAAAGAAAUGGGAGAGACACUUCUCUUGUGCAAAAUCCAAAAUCGAGGCUUAAGCAAUCUUUAGGAAGUAAAGACUUCCAACUCGUUUAUCUUAGUUCUAGAGCUCAAACUAGCGUCCUUAUUUAAGCUAAUUACUUACACUAAAAGAAAACAAACUGGGACAUGCUUAGCUAGAGAAAAAGAUAUUCAAACUAGUUAAAAAAUAACUAUCUUUACAUUGAGUUGUCAAGCCUCGCUAAUCAUUCUUAAUGCCCAAGUUAACAAAAAAAAAAGAAAUACUUUCAGAAGUUUAAGGCUUGUAUAAC